CAAUAGCGUAUAUUAAAGCUGUUGCGGUUAAAAAGCUCGUAGUUGGAUUUCUGUCAAGGACAACUGGUCCGCCCUCCGGGUGAGCACAUAGUUUGGUCUUGGCAUCUUGCUGGAAACUGUUGCUGCGCUUGGUUGUGUGGUGCAGCUUUCAGCACUUUCACUUUGAGGAAAUUGGAGUGUUUCAAGCAGGCACAUGCCUUUGGACACAGUAGCAUGGAAUAACUAGAUUGGGCUUUUGCUCCAACUUGUUGGUUCCUGGAGCUGAGGUGAGAAUCAAUGGGGAUUGUUGGGGGCAUCCGAAUUUAGCCGUCAGAGGUGAAAUUCUUGGAUCUGCUAAAGACGGACAACUGCGAAAGCGUUUGCCCAGGAUGUUUUCAUUGA
rnacentral:rRNA from 1 species